UCCCUCUCUGGUUUGCACCUGGGGAGUUUCCAGUACCUUACCAGUCUUGGCUAUGGAAGGGACAGUCAAGCAGAGGCCUGUCCAUUCCAUUCCUAGCUUGGGCAGUGGCUAGUGAGUGGAAGGCAAUCUGCUACAAGU